AUGGGUUUUUUCCCAUCUUAGCAAGAUUCUGUUCCAUUCCAGAUGUUCCCUGUUGACAUUUUGGUGCCAAAGCAAAGUAUGGACUCCCUUGAAACAGAGCCUGGUUCCCCGGAAAGUGUUGUGUUUGAUAGAAAGUCUUUUCUCAAAACACAUCGCUCCCAUAAGGAGUUUUUGAGACGAAGUGCGAGAUUAGCGGAGAGAGAGGAUUUUAAUUAACCCGUUUCCCUUGGGAAGCAUCAGGGAGGCAAGCAUGUUGACACAGCUACUUUCUCUGGGAACAAUAGGGGAGUUAAACACCUGUUGGGGGGAACUCUUGAAUUUCCAUAAAAGUUCUGCACUGAGCUCUCCCUAUCACGGUAUCAACGUGACUAAUCCAAGAAGAACAUCGUCUCUUAUACCUGAGCUCCUAAGCGGCCUUUUGGUGCGCUUACUCACGAGUAGACCGGGAGUUGCGUUUUCAUUCCUGUUCAAGUUUGGACUGCAUUUCAGAUCCACCACGAAUUACUUUGCCUAGCCUCGAAUCCUUGUCUGGAUUUAACUUCAAGAAUCUCCCGGUGAAUCCUUGCUCUUUCCCCACUCAAACUUCCAAUGAGUUUGAGUGUGUUUCGGUUAUUGGAUUGUAGACUUUGGACUCUAAUACUGGACAUAUAACUUCAUUUAUUUGGACUAUUUUUGAUCUUUCCUAUAAGGACAAUUGCUUGACUAUAUACUCUGCAUACUUUUGUUUUAUUCUUUUAUUGCAUUAAUAAAGAUAUUAGAUUGUUUAUUGGCCUCCAUGUUGGUUUCCAGUGCUCACGCAGCUUAGAGGCGUUACAGUAAUGCCCCACAUCAGGUUUGUAGCAGUAGCAAAAAGCAUUCAAUUAAGGAGAAACUGUCAGGCCUUCUAUGCGCCCAAAUGAGCACACAAGUGCUAUGAAGAUGAUGGUAAUUAUCCUAAUGAAUCUGAACGAGGCUGCCGAGGUUAAAACACUGGCGUGUCUUCUGCAUCCUGCCACCACAAAGACUAUCCAUUUGUGUUUACCUGGAUUGGACAUUAAAUCAAUCGUGGGACUAUUUGCAUUUGGCAUCAUCAUAUUCCUGGCUUCGUGCCCUUCAUGGGGGCGGACAUUUAAAUGACUUGGACUUUAAACUAUCCAACUGCAACUGUUCCUUUUUCCUACUACGGUCGAACUCCUACAGCAAGUGACAUCAAGAGGAAUCCCCAGCCAAUAGGAGCCCAGAUCCAAACUGGGCUGGCUUUUUAGCCACGCAGGGGAGGGCACGUAUAUUUUGAAUAGCUGUCAAAGUUGAUAAAAUGCUUUGUAUUUC